GUGGGGAAUAUUGCACAAUGGGGGAAACCCUGAUGCAGCGACGCCGCGUGAGUGAUGAAGGCCUUCGGGUCGUAAAGCUCUGUCGUAUGGGACUAACACAAUGAAGGUACCAUGCAAGAAAGGAUCGGCUAACUUCGUGCCAGCAGCCGCGGUAAGACGAGGGAUCCUAGCGUUGUUCGGAAUCAUUGGGCGUAAAGCGGGUGUAGGCGGUCUUAUAAGUCAGGUGUGAAAGCCCAGGGCUCAACCCUGGAAGUGCACUUGAUACUGUAAGACUUGAGUGUGGUAGAGGCUACUGGAAUUCCUGGUGUAGUGGUAAAAUACGUAGAUAUCAGGAGGAAUACCGGAGGCGAAGGCGAGUAGCUGGGCCAACACUGACGCUGAGAUCCGAAAGCGUGGGGAUCAAACAGGAUUAGAAACCCUUGUAGUCC
rnacentral:rRNA from 1 species